UCGCAUUGAGGUCCCCAACCACCAAGGCC
rnacentral:sRNA from 1 species